UGGUAGCGAGGGCCCCUACUUGCCCCCUGGGCGAAGCUACAAUUCGCCACCUAGUUCUCGGUCACACUACC
rnacentral:tRNA from 2 species